CACGUAGGGCGCAAGCGUUGUCCGGAAUUAUUGGGCGUAAAGAGCUCGUAGGCGGCUUGUCGCGUCGACUGUGAAAACCCGUGGCUCAACCAUGUGGUCUGCAGUCGAUACGGGCAGGCUAGAAUUCGGUAGGGGAGACUGGAAUUCCUGGUGUAGCGGUGAAAUGCGCAGAUAUCAGGAGGAACACCGGUGGCGAAGGCGGCAUCCUGGACCAACAUUGACGCUGAGGAGCGAAAGCCAGGGAGCAAACGGG
rnacentral:rRNA from 1 species